AGGGAAUCUUCCACAAUGGACGCAAGUCUGAUGGAGCAACGCCGCGUGAGUGAAGAAGGUUUUCGGACCGUAAAGCUCUGUUGUUGGUGAAGAAGGAUAGAGGUAGUAACUGGCCUUUAUUUGACGGUAAUCAACCAGAAAGUCACGGCUAACUACGUGCCAGCAGCCGCGGUAAAUCGUAGGUGGCAAGCGUUGUCCGGAUUUAUUGGGCGUAAAGCGAGCGCAGGCGGAAGAAUAAGUCUGAUGUGAAAGCCCUCGGCUUAACCGAGGAAUUGCAUCGGAAACUGUUUUUCUUGAGUGCAGAAGAGGAGAGUAGAACUCCAUGUGUAGCGGUGGAAUGCGUAGAUAUAUGGAAGAAUACCAGUGGCGAAGGCGGCUCUCUGGUCUGCAACUGACGCUGAGGCUCGAAAGCAUGGGUAGCGAACAGGAUUAGAUACCCUGGUAGUCCAUGCCGUAAACGAUGAGUGCUAAGUGUUGGGAGGCUUCCGCCUCUCAGUGCUGCAGCUAACGCAUUAAGCACUCCGCCUGGGGAGUACGACCGCAAGGUUGAAAC
rnacentral:rRNA from 1 species